rnacentral:rRNA from 1 species
UACGUAGGGGGCAAGCGUUGUCCGGAUUUAUUGGGCGUAAAGAGCGUGUAGGCGGCUUGGUAGGUCCGCUGUGAAAACUCGAGGCUCAACCUCGAGAUGUCGGCGGAAACCACUUGGCUAGAGUCCGGAAGAGGAGAGUGGAAUUCCCGGUGUAGUGGUGAAAUGCGCAGAUAUCGGGAAGAACACCUAUGGCGAAGGCAGCUCUCUGGGACGGUACUGACGCUGAGACGCGAAAGCGUGGGGAGCGAACAGG